GAGCUUGCUCCCUGAUGUUAGCGGCGGACGGGUGAGUAACACGUGGGUAACCUGCCUGUAAGACUGGGAUAACUCCGGGAAACCGGGGCUAAUACCGGAUGGUUGUUUGAACCGCAUGGUUCAAACAUAAAAGGUGGCUUCGGCUACCACUUACAGAUGGACCCGCGGCGCAUUAGCUAGUUGGUGAGGUAACGGCUCACCAAGGCGACGAUGCGUAGCCGACCUGAGAGGGUGAUCGGCCACACUGGGACUGAGACACGGCCCAGACUCCUACGGGAGGCAGCAGUAGGGAAUCUUCCGCAAUGGACGAAAGUCUGACGGAGCAACGCCGCGUGAGUGAUGAAGGUUUUCGGAUCGUAAAGCUCUGUUGUUAGGGAAGAACAAGUACCGUUCGAAUAGGGCGGUACCUUGACGGUACCUAACCAGAAAGCCACGGCUAACUACGUGCCAGCAGCCGCGGUAAUACGUAGGUGGCAAGCGUUGUCCGGAAUUAUUGGGCGUAAAGGGCUCGCAGGCGGUUUCUUAAGUCUGAUGUGAAAGCCCCCGGCUCAACCGGGGAGGGUCAUUGGAAACUGGGGAACUUGAGUGCAGAAGAGGAGAGUGGAAUUCCACGUGUAGCGGUGAAAUGCGUAGAGAUGUGGAGGAACACCAGUGGCGAAGGCGACUCUCUGGUCUGUAACUGACGCUGAGGAGCGAAAGCGU
rnacentral:rRNA from 1 species